UGUUGUUCUCUUUGUGUGUGAUUCUGCCAUAAGAUUUUAACAAAAAGAAUUUUUAGUUGUGGAGUACUCUGUUCUUUCAGUUCACAAUACCCACUUGUCCUCCUCGUAAUACAGAUCCUCCUGCAGUGAAAGGGGCUCGUGGACUAAGACGUGAGAGAGGUCCGACUUGUACUUGUGCAGCAUGGACACAUGAAAUACAUUAUGGACCCUGGAUAGUUCUGGAGGCAAUGCUAGUCUGUAGGCGGUGGUGCCAAUUCUAUCUAAGAUUUUAGAUGGCUCAAUAAAUCGGGAAUUUAGUUUUUCCCUCU
rnacentral:lncRNA from 1 species